GAUGAACGCUGGCGGCGUGCCUAAUACAUGCAAGUCGAGCGAACAGAUAAGGAGCUUGCUCCUUUGACGUUAGCGGCGGACGGGUGAGUUACACGUGGAUAACCUACCUAUAAGACUGGGAUAACUUCGGGAAACCGGAGCUAAUACCGGAUAACAUAUUGAACCGCAUGGUUCAAUAGUGAAAGGCGGCUUUGCUGUCACUUAUAGAUGGAUCCGCGCCGUAUUAGCUAGUUGGUAAGGUAACGGCUUACCAAGGCAACGAUACGUAGCCGACCUGAGAGGGUGGUCGGCCACACUGGAACGGCGCCACGGUCCGGACUCCUACGGGAGGCAGCAGUAGGGAAUCUGCCGCAAUGGGCGAAAGCCUGACGGAGCAGCGCCGCGUGAGUGAUGAAGGUCUUCGGAUCGUAAAACUCUGUUAUCAGGGAAGAACAAACGGGUAAGUAAAUGUGCACAUCUUGACGGUACCUGAUCAGAAAGCCACGGCUAACUACGUG
rnacentral:rRNA from 1 species